rnacentral:tRNA from 1 species
CAUUAAGAAGCUAUGAAGCAGCGUUAGCCUUUUAAGCUAAAGAAAGAGGACUCACCCCCCUCCUUAAUGA